CGCGAGUGCACUGAGAGAAACGGAGCCAGGCAGACAGAGGAGAGCUGAAGUUCGACCAGUUGUUUCCCUCCACGGCUAAAUAAAUCGGUUUCAGUAAUGCACUGAUAUACAAGAAUGGACAUAAGGAGCUUCUUUCAAAGAAAAAACUCUGCACAAAGAGGGAGAGAGAGGAACAGAGAGGGAGAUGGAGAAUGAGGACAGAACAGAGAUGGAACAAGAGCAGAACAGGAGGCGAGAGCAGAGAACAAGAGUGCAGCAGUUUGGUGGAAGGUGAAGAAGAGGUGAGCAUCCAAAAGACGAGCAAGAGGACAGUUUCAUAGGAGACAUCACGGCACAAUAAAAGCUAGAAACUCACCUGAUGUAGUGGUAAGGCCGUGUUCACCACUAGAUGGAGACAACCUGGCACAGAAAUGGAGACCCGCCACACGAACACACAAGCUCAGCUCUGAAUUCUUUGCCAGCUGCAUAUAUAUUUCUGCACUGCGUCACACCGACACACAGUUUACUUUUUGUCUGGUUUCCUGUAUUUUAUACGCCUGUGCAGCUCUGCACUACAACCUCCUGUUCUCUGCAGCAGCAUGCAGUUUCCUGUCAGUACUCUGUGACAUUGUGCUCAAACUGGUGUUCUCCCAGUCUGGCCUCAUUAAAACAAAAUAAACAGAAAAUAAGCAUUAAGAAUAUAUAUUUAUUUCCUAACAAUACACAUGGAAACUUCACACAGACAAACACACACACAAAACAACAAAAUGCACGUCUCAUUUUGAGAAUUUCACCACUUUUACUUUUCAUGGAAAAUAACUUGUUACAUGACAUCAUUUAAAAUAAGUUUGUCAGUGAGUGGCUGCCACAUAAGUAUAAAUCUAAAUCACACAUGUGGGUAGGGCUGCAUAGUCAGUAAAAGUCUCCAAGGCUCUGCAGAGCUCCAAACCUCCUCUGCCACAGACAGAAGCAUCAAAAAUGUGCGCUGGGAGCUUCAUGGAAGGAUUUCUACAGCCAAGCAAAUCUAUAUGUGUGUGGCCAAGAAGCUCAGUCCAUGUAGGGUAUCUCAGCACAGUUUGUGUCAGUCAGGUCAGCUAGUGGGAGGGCAGAGAGGGCAGCCUUUACAGUAUUUUAGUGUAGAGUGACAGGAACUGCCUAUGAGCUUCUAAUCAGGCAGAAGUGUUGACAGAAAACAUAUCAAAGGAAAUACAUUGAUGAAAAUCAAAGAAGAUAAAUAUUUAUGUGAUGUUCUAUUUUCCUGAGAGCUGAUUGGCUGUGAUGACUCCUUCAAGUACUACAUGAAACUUUGUCCUGCUAGUUAAGCCUGCUGUCUGUUCUCAGGCCUCCUCCUGUUUCACUGGCAUAUAUCCAUCACCAGAGGGCUCCACUGACCUGCCUGCUGACAUCACAGCACACCCCUGUGUCAUGUGACCUGUCCCAAGCAAGUUCAAAGGCAGCUGUGGUAGAGAGAGCAGGGAGUUUAGUAGAGCACUGGAAGGAUGAGGUGGAAACGGUAGAUUCAGUGGACGUGGCGUCCUCCAUCUGCCUCCAUGCUCUCUUUACUGGCCUCUAAAAUCACUUCUAAAAACUUAAAUGUUUAGCAUUUAGAAUU